GAUGAACGCUGGCGGCGUGCUUAACACAUGCAAGUCGAACGAUGAAGCCCAGCUUGCUGGGUGGAUUAGUGGCGAACGGGUGAGUAACACGUGAGUAACCCGCCCUUAACUCUGGGAUAAGCCUGGGAAACGGGGUCUAAUACCGGAUAGGAGCGUCCACCGCAUGGUGGGUGUUGGAAAGAUUUAUCGGUUUUGGAUGGACUCGCGGCCUAUCAGCUUGUUGGUGAGGGAAUGGCUCACCAAGGCGACGACGGGUAGCCGGCCUGAGAGGGUGACCGGCCACCCUGGGCCUGCGACACGGACCAGACUCCUACGGGAGGCAGCAGUGGGGAAUAUUGCACAAUGGGCGCACGCCUGAUGAAGCGACGCCGCGUGAGGGAUGACGGCCUUCGGGGUGUAAACAUCUUUCAGUAGGGAAGAAGCGAUAGUGACGGUACCUGCAGAAGAAGCACCGGCUAACUACGUG
rnacentral:rRNA from 1 species